CUUUGGGAAAGCUGGCUAGUACGUGCUCUCUCUAACUGAAAGGAAUCCAAAGAGGAUUUUCGCUUUUCCCAGAAAAGGUGAAAAGCCAAACCAGCACGGAGCAUCUGUUUUGCAGCAAGCCCGGAGAGAGGCGCUGCGGAGCCCCAGCACGGGCGUGCCCCUUGCAGGGGAACUCCACUCAGCAUCUGGGCAUCAAGCAGCCAAAGCUUUGAACUGUCUGCGAGCAUCUGUGCUGCAUCUUGAUUUAUUGUGUGCCUCCGUUAGCAAGAUGUGUCCAAGAUCACAUCGGAAAAGCCUGAGAGUGAACCCUGAGCUCGGCACUCUUUGAAUGGGGUACAGCUCUCAAGCUUCCUCUCCACCCUCAGCGGGAACCCCUGCAGGAACUUUCUAACGCCAUUUUGGAGGAAGGAUAUCAAGCUUGGUACUACCUUCUGGCAUUCUGAAAUGAUUUGUGUUAAACCCACAGAGGCAGCUUUGGGACCCAUACGUAUAAAUGCUGUAGAUCCAAGCGUCAGCCCACCC